ACCCUGGUACACAUUAGGUUCUCAGUAAAUGUUUGUUGAAUGAGUAACUGCAUGAACAUAGGGAUGUAGGUCGGGGCCAGCUAAGAGGAU
rnacentral:miRNA from 1 species